UGCUCUUGUUAGGCUAGUAAGACGAAUCUAUUUACUUCAAACUAGUCCGGCCAUUGAUCUCUGCUGUACCUGGAAUCCAAGUAAUCCAUCCGCUUGUGAUUGCUUUUAUUGAAUCACUGUAUAUAAGGCCUGCAAACUAUUACCUCGUAUCGCCUAGGGAACACUAUAGCUUUCAAACUUCCUUGCCUUAUCCUAUUGAAGUCCAAUUAUCAUUUUCUUGCCAUUAAUUUAGCUUUCACGAACCUGCCCAUCUCAUAAGAUCAGUGGGGCGUUAGGCUGUGGUUGAUUUCAGACUGGGUUUCAAAGCAAGGCUACUGGUGGUUUCUUAUUUGUGGAUUUAGGGGCUGCGGAGUUGGAGAGUGAAGUUUCUCUGUCUAAGCACCGAAGCUGGUUGGACUCUGUUAUUUUGGGGUGUGCAGGUUGGACUCUGUUAUUUUGGGGUAAUUUUUGUGUGAUCCGUAGUGAUGUUAGAUUUGUAGCAGGUUUGUACAGUUAAGACCAGUAAUAAUAGUUGAUUUAGUGAUUUUAGUGAUUUUAGUUUGGCAUUCUGUUUGCUUGUUAUGUUUCAAUGCGAGGGGUUUGCAGGAAAAAAAUGCUAAAUUAAAGAAGAAUGAUGUUUAUGCAUGGAAGGUGUCAUUUAUGGUAUUAGGUUGAUGAAGAGGUACCGUUUAUGUAGUUGAGUAGAUUGAACUUUUGCUAA